GCGCCCGUAGCUCAACCGGACAGAGCAACGGCCUUCUAAGCCGUAGGUUACAGGUUCGAGUCCUGUCGGGCGUGCCA
rnacentral:tRNA from 2 species